GUGGAGAAACCGACUCAAACGUUGUCCACACCUUUUGGUCCUGAUAUCUACUCAGCAUUGGUCGAUAUUUUUAAGAUAGAGAUCCCUAAGGAUCCAUUGUUUGCUUUGUUGGGAGUCACCCCUGAUGGUUUUGAACGAAGGGAUGAUAUAUACCUUCUGCAAAUCCUUCUUGCUGCAGCCAUUAAAGUGAUGGUUCAGAGUAAUUUCACCCUAGGCUGCUUUGCACUAGCCUCGUGAGACCGUCCUGAUCUGGCGAGCUCCAGUUCUCCACUUGCAGAUCAUGGAGAAAAUUUGGAGCCGUUCGCCAAAAGACCGACCAAUCAACGUUGGUUUUGAGGCGGGUUUAGGUGUGAC